rnacentral:rRNA from 1 species
GACGAACGCUGGCGGCGUGCCUAAUACAUGCAAGUAGAACGCACAGUUUAUACCGUAGCUUGCUACACCAUAGACUGUGAGUUGCGAACGGGUGAGUAACGCGUAGGUAACCUGCCUGGUAGCGGGGGAUAACUAUUGGAAACGAUAGCUAAUACCGCAUAAUAUUGAUUAUUGCAUGAUAAUUGAUUGAAAGAUGCUAUUGCAUCACUACCAGAUGGACCUGCGUUGUAUUAGCUAGUAGGUGAGGUAACGGCUCACCUAGGCGACGAUACAUAGCCGACUGGGGAGGGUAAUCGCCCAACCUGGGCAUGAGACACGGCCAAGACUCCUACGGGAGGCAGCAGUAGGGAAUCUUCGGAAAUGGACGAAAGUCUGACCGGGCAACGCCGCGGGAGUGAAGAAGGUUUUCGGAUCGUAAAGCUCUGUUGUAAGAGAAGAAGGGGUGUGAGAGUGGAAAGUUCACACUGGGACGGUAUCUUACCAGAAAGGGACGGCUAACUACGUG